rnacentral:pre_miRNA from 1 species
UUAACUCAAAUUUGUAUGGAGUUAGAAUGUUUAUCUACUUUUGCCGCUAGGGGCGCUGUCCCAACUGCAUACAAAUUUGAGUUA